rnacentral:rRNA from 1 species
CGGCCGCGUCGACGGGAGCUUGCUCCCUGAUUCAGCGGCGGACGGGUGAGUAAUGCCUAGGAAUCUGCCUGGUAGUGGGGGACAACGUUUCGAAAGGAACGCUAAUACCGCAUACGUCCUACGGGAGAAAGCAGGGGACCUUCGGGCCUUGCGCUAUCAGAUUAGCCUAGGUCGGAUUAGCUAGUUGGUGAGGUAAUGGCUCACCAAGGCGACGAUCCGUAACUGGUCUGAGAGGAUGAUCAGUCACACUGGAACUGAGACACGGUCCAGACUCCUACGGGAGGCAGCAGUGGGGAAUAUUGGACAAUGGGCGAAAGCCUGAUCCAGCCAUGCCGCGUGUGUGAAGAAGGUCUUCGGAUUGUAAAGCACUUUUCUCUGGGAAGAAAGUUGUGAAAGCAACCUGACGGUACCAGAGGAAUCAGCAUCGGCUAACUCCGUGCCAGCAGCCGCGGUAAGACGGAGGAUGCAAGCGUUAUCCGGAAUGAUUGGGCUAAGCGUCGCAGGUGCAGUUCAAGUCUGUCG